rnacentral:rRNA from 1 species
CAGCAGCCGCGGUAAUACCAGCUCUUCAAGUGGUCGGGAUAAUUAUUGGGCUUAAAGUGUCCGUAGCCGGUUUAGUAAGUUCCUGGUAAAAUCGGGUAGCUUAACUAUCUAUAUGCUAGGAAUACUGCUAUACUAGAGGGCGGGAGAGGUCUGAGGUACUACAGGGGUAGGGGUGAAAUCUUAUAAUCCUUGUAGGACCACCAGUGGCGAAGGCGUCAGACUGGAACGCGCCUGACGGUGAGGGACGAAAGCCAGGGGAGCGAACCGGAUUAGAUACCCGGGUAGUCCUGGCCGUAAACGAUGCAUACUAGGUGAUGGCACGGCCAUGAGCCGUGUCAGUGCCGUAGGGAAACCGUUAAGUGUGCCGCCUGGGAAGUACGGUCGCAAGGCUAAAACUUAAAGGAAUUGGCGGGGGAGCACCACAAGGGGUGAAGCCUGCGGUUCAAUUGGACUCAACGCCGGAAAACUUACCAGGGGAGACAGCAGUAUGACGGUCAGGUUGACGACCUUACCUAACGAGCUGAGAGGAGGUGCAUGGCCGUCGCCAGUUCGUGCCGUGAGGUAUCCUGUUAAGUCAGGCAACGAACGAGAUCCGCACCUUUAUUUGCCACCAAGAAGUCACGACUUCGUGGGAACACUAAAGGGACCGCCGUCGAUAAGACGGAGGAAGGAGCGGGCAAAGGCAGGUCAGUAUGCCCCGAAACCCCUGGGCUACACGCGGGCUACAAUGGUAUGAACAAUGGGC